rnacentral:lncRNA from 1 species
ACCAGACUUGAUCAUCUAAUAUCCGAUAAAGUUUAACUUAAAUAUCAUCUAAUAUCCAUCAAAGUUAAUCUAUCCAUCAUCCCACACAUAAGAUCAUCUCCAUUCACACGUACAAAUAGAUAAUAUAACAUAGAAACAGAGUACAAGUCCCUUCAUUAUAAACUUUGACACUAGACUAAAUUGAGUUUGACUCCUUUUUUACAAGCUUCAUGUGGAGUGUCGUUCCAUCUUCCUUUUCCAUGUCAGCUUCAUAUGUUGCUUCCACUUAACACUCUGAGAAGGCGAAGUUGCUAGAUCUGAGCUGAUGAUGAUGACAAAGGAGACGACGGCAUGCUCGGAAGAGUUGUGAACAGAAACGAUGUCAUGCUCGGGAGAGCUGCCUGAUGUCUGUAGGCCGGCCCAAUAUCCCC